UUGGCCACAGCCGAGUGAGAUGCGAGGGCUACCCGGAGGGUGAUCUCCGGGCUCAGGAUGGGAAUAGAAGAAACAAGAGGAAGGAAGAAGGGCUAGGCAAGCCAAGAAAAUGCCAAUAAAGGAAGGAAAUGGAGAGGAUUAGUAAAAAGUGAGACCCAUACCAGUUGGAGGUACAUGCUGACAGGACUUCCACUUGGUCUUCUAACUGACUGAAAGCAAGGCCAGGUAUCUAUCAGCAUCCCAUUCUCAUCACCAGUAUUGCCAAGAGCUGAGGAGAAUCCGAUUUUACCAUACUUGCAAG